CCAAUGGAGUUAGUAUUCUUCACUUAUAAAUUCAUCAUCAUUUCCUAAAUUAACCGAUGUGGGACUUUCAUCCUCCAACACAAAGCCGAAGUGGCUAGACAAAUUUUCAUUGGCAAUGUUCUUAGGCUGUGGCUUUGGCUCAAUAACAUAGAAAGGUUGGAAAUAGCUAAGGAAGGCCAUUUCAGGGCAAACUGAUAGCUUUAUGAAAAUCUAUCUCAAGCAAUUGGCUUCCUAUCUUUUUGGAGGGCUGCAAGGUACUAGUUUUUGUUUUUUUUUUUUCUUUUUUCUUUUCCUUAAUCUUUUAGAACACUACGAGAACGGAACCGUUGACCUUAAAUAAGGUAAUACAUGUCUUUAUUCCAUGAGCUAUGUCUGAAUUGACAUGGAUUUUUUUACAUUUAAAUCCUCCAAAUUUUGGUUUA